rnacentral:sRNA from 1 species
CGAAAAUAAUACUUUUAAAGAACAUUGCUUAUAUCUCUGUCUUAACAAAUUCACUCCAACAACUAAUUUAUCUAACAUUGAGAAUGAUAAAUUUCAUGCAGUAAACAACAUGAAGUCCCAAACCAACUUUUCCAAAAUUUAGAGUUCAAUUUCUUAUAUACUGUGCACAAACAAACAAAAACAGUUAUCAAACCCACAAAAUCAAUGAUCAAAUUGUAUAAAAUAGCUAAUAUUUGGGUUGCAGAAGUGAUCUAUCAGUUUCUGUAUGAACAGUAUGAACAAAAAGGAAACUCAAAACUAAAACUUUCAUGUGUUGAACCAGAAUCUAACAUCAAUAACAGAAACAGGGAAAAGAGUUAAGUAAAGUAAUUGCAAAAAGCAAAUCAGAGGAAAGGGAAGAAGUAUCAGAAAUCAUAGGAAUGGGCAGAAUUGGGAAGAAAAUUACACACAAUCACUUGAGAUUUCAUUGCUUCCCAAUCCGCCCAUUCCCACAAAUUCUGAUUGCUUCAAUCUUCCAUUCCCAGCUCUUUGUUAAUUUUUUCUUACAACUCAUUCACCACUUACCCUAACUCCUUUAUAUAACAAGCCUAACUCCCUCAGUCACGUUCUGCAAAACACCACUUUACGUAAAGCUAAAGGCUUAAAGCUUCAAGAUUCCCUCAUCACAAAAGCAUGGUUGGUAUAAAGCAUCUAGUCUCAGCAGAUAAUCUAUUGGA